ensembl:lncRNA
AUAUGCAGAUACAAUACGUUUGUCCCAAGGGAUUUAUGGUACACUUUAGAAAGACAAUACGGUUUAUCACACCGUAAUGAGUAAUUAGAUAAACUCAGUUCAAAUCAGAGUUUUUUCCUUGGAGUCACUAUUUGUUCUAAUGACGCAGAGAGACCACAGUUUCACAAAGCUUGCUUCUCCUCAACCAAAAGAAGUACCUUUAUUUUCCAAGGUCACCAGUGGACCCCUAUUACACAAAAGCUUUUAGAACAAAGAAAAAUAUUAAAGAGCGGGGAAACUCCUAGCUUAUUUAAACUACAAUAGUAUAUUUGAAUCCAUUCUUUCUUCUAAAUCAUCUAAUUUCAAGCUAAAGAUAGGAUUUGUAGCUAUGUCUUUACAUUAAAAUAAUUCAAUUUGAAAAUAUUCAGAGUAUUUGUUGCUUUGGUGAUAUAGUGCAUUUUUUUAUUCCAAGACGUUGGUUUCCCUGGCAGCACUGUUCUGUUCAGGAAAAACAUACUGCAACUGCAAACCAAGGGCAGCCUUUGGUUAAGGUUAUCACCAAGAGAUUAUAUUGGCUGGUAGUGCAUGUUAAACACAGUUCUUAAGACAAUUCUUAUGACAUCACCUGCAUAUGUUUUAACUUAUUCAAGUCUGCUCAUAUUUCUCAAGUAUGCACUUCUGUAAAUAAUCAUGUUGAUACAAAAUUACACUUGUUUGAACCAACCUUUGCACUAAUUAUAUCCCAAGCCUACCUCUGCUUACAAAUAACUCACAUAACUAUUCAUAUUUAAAUUUCUAAUUUAUUUUAUUUUAGUACAGUCUUCCCCAAUACUUAUUUUACCUAAUAUUCCAAGCUGGUUUGAAAAGAAAGAUAGUCUUCAAUGAAUUUUUGGGUCCUUAAUAGGCAGGCAUUCCACCUUACCAUUCACUGCAUUCCAGAACAUCACAUUUAACUCUUCCUUUAUCUGAUUACACAGUAUUAAUCCAAGUCAAAAUUACCGAGAUGAGUAUAGAAAGUUUAGAGUCUUGAAAUUGCUACAGAGGUCGCUUUAGGCUGUUGUUUAAAGACAAAAUUGUAUUCAGGUCAUCUCUCCUGCAGUCAGCAGUCACUACAGCAGUAAACUAAAACUGCCUGGGCUGGCAUUGAUACCG